UUAUUUGAGAGUUUGAUCCUGGCUCAGGAUGAACGCUGGCGGCGUGCCUAACACAUGCAAGUUGAGCGAUUUACUUCGGUAAAGAGCGGCGGACGGGUGAGUAACGCGUGGGUAACCUACCCUGUACACACGGAUAACAUACCGAAAGGUAUGCUAAUACGGGAUAAUAUAUUUGAGAGGCAUCUCUUGAAUAUCAAAGGUGAGCCAGUACAGGAUGGACCCGCGUCUGAUUAGCUAGUUGGUAAGGUAACGGCUUACCAAGGCGACGAUCAGUAGCCGACCUGAGAGGGUGAUCGGCCACAUUGGAACUGAGACACGGUCCAAACUCCUACGGGAGGCAGCAGUGGGGAAUAUUGCACAAUGGGCGAAAGCCUGAUGCAGCAACGCCGCGUGAGUGAUGAAGGCCUUCGGGUCGUAAAACUCUGUCCUCAAGGAAGAU
rnacentral:rRNA from 1 species